CAGAGUAUACAGCUACUUCAAUUAAGGUUGUCAAAGAUGGGUAUACCAAAUUUUAAUAUUUUUAGCUGUUUUACUUUAGGUAGCCCAUGGACAUACCUUCUUUUUGUUUUCCCAGGGGUAUACAUGAUUUAUAAUACAUUUCACCCCAUAAAAUAUCUUAUUCUCAUUAUACUUUUUGCGCUAGGAUCGUACAUUUGACUAUUGCUUACAACCAUAUAUAACUGAAAUAGCUGUGUAUAUAUCAAGAGCUCGAACACAAAAUAAGAUGGGAUAUUUGACACAAUUGUCCUUAUACAGGAUACGAAAAUCUUCUCGUCUGGCACGUUAUUCUCCAUGUGCUAUAGCAUAAUUAUAUGAAAGCCG